rnacentral:rRNA from 1 species
AGUGAACGCUGGCGGCGUGCCUAACACAUGCAAGUCGAACGGGCUAGUGCUUCGCACUAGUCUCUUUCUGGGGUUGUUACUCUAAGGCUACCUGCUAAGGUUAUUGCUUUAAAGCAGGGGUUUUAGGAGACUUUCCCCGAAAGGGGCCAGUGCGGAGCACUGGCCAGUGGCGAACGGGUGAGUAACACGUGGGUAAUCUACCCUCGAGUGGGGAAUAAGCUUCCGAAAGGGGGUCUAAUGCCGCAUAACGUUUCAUAACGAUGGUUAUGAAACCAAAGCCCAAAAGGCGCUCGAGGAGGAGCCUGCGUCCUAUCAGCUUGUUGGCAGGGUAAUGGCCUACCAAGGCUAUGACGGGUAGCCGGCCUGAGAGGGUGUCCGGCCACACUGGAACUGAGACACGGUCCAGACUCCUACGGGAGGCAGCAGUGGGGAAUUUUGCGCAAUGGGGAAACCCUGACGCAGCGACGCCGCGUGGAGGAUGACGGCCUCGGUUGUAACUCCUGUCAGAGGACGAAUACCGC